rnacentral:rRNA from 1 species
UACGUAGGGUGCGAGCGUUGUCCGGAUUUAUUGGGCGUAAAGAGCUCGUAGGCGGUUUGUCGCGUCGGCCGUGAAAUCUCCACGCUUAACGUGAAGCGUGCGGUCGAUACGGGCAGACUUGAGUUCGGUAGGGGAGACUGGAAUUCCUGGUGUAGCGAUGAAAUGCGCAGAUAUCAGGAGGAACACCGGUGGCGAAGGCGGGUCUCUGGGCCGAUACUGACGCUGAGGAGCGAAAGCGUGGGGAGCGAACAGG